rnacentral:miRNA from 1 species
UGCACAGCCUCUUCCCUGGUU